GGACGGUUUGCUAAAGCUGAAGAGGACGGUUUGCUAAAUCGUUAGGUCGGGUAACUGGCGCGGGGGUUCGAAUCCCCCAUUCUCCG
rnacentral:tRNA from 1 species